rnacentral:rRNA from 1 species
GACGAACGCUGGCGGCGUGCUUAACACAUGCAAGUCGAACGGAAAGGCCCUGCUUUUGUGGGGUGCUCGAGUGGCGAACGGGUGAGUAACACGUGAGUAACCUGCCCUUGACUUUGGGAUAACUUCAGGAAACUGGGGCUAAUACCGGAUAGGAGCUCCUGCUGCAUGGUGGGGGUUGGAAAGUUUCGGCGGUUGGGGAUGGACUCGCGGCUUAUCAGCUUGUUGGUGGGGUAGUGGCUUACCAAGGCUUUGACGGGUAGCCGGCCUGAGAGGGUGACCGGCGACAUUGGGACUGAGAUACGGCCCAGACUCCUACGGGAGGCAGAAGUGGGGAAUAUUGCACAAUGGGCGGAAGCCUGAUGCAGCAACGCUGCGUGCGGGAUGACGGGCUUCGGGUUGUAAACCGCUUUCGCCUGUGACGAAGCGUGAGUGACGGUAAUGGGUAAAGAAGCACCGGCUAACUACGUG